rnacentral:rRNA from 1 species
UUGGAGGGCAAGUCUGGUGCCAGCAGCCGCGGUAAUUCCAGCUCCAAUAGCGUAUAUUAAAGUUGUUGCAGUUAAAAAGCUCGUAGUUGAAUUUCGAGACCGGCUUACUGGUCGUGCUUUUGUACGUACUGGUAUAAUCGGUUUCUCCUUUCUGACGAACUAUAAUGCCAUUAAUUUGGUGUUAUAGGGAAUCAGGACUGUUACUUUGAAAAAAUUAGAGUGUUUAAAGCAGGCUCACGCUUGAAUACAUUAGCAUGGAAUAACGGAAUAGGACGUUUGAUUCUAUUUUGUUGGUUUCUAGGAAUGGACGUAAUGAUUAAUAGGGAUAGUUGGGGGCAUUAGUAUUCAAUUGUCAGAGGUGAAAUUCUUGGAUUUAUUGAAGACUAACUACUGCGAAAGCAUUUGCCAAGGAUGUUUUCAUUAAUCAAGAACGAAAGUUAGGGGAUCGAAGACGAUCAGAUACCGUCGUAGUCUUAACCAUAAACUAUGCCGACUAGGGAUCGGAUGAUGUUAAUUUUUUAAUGACUCAUUCGGCGCCUUACGGGAAAC